CUGGCGGGNUUGCCUAAUACAUGCAAGUCGAGCGAAUCGAUGGGAGCUUGCUCCCUGAGAUUAGCGGCGGACGGGUGAGUAACACGUGGGCAACCUGCCUAUAAGACUGGGAUAACUUCGGGAAACCGGAGCUAAUACCGGAUACGUUCUUUUCUCGCAUGAGAGAAGAUGGAAAGACGGUUUACGCUGUCACUUAUAGAUGGGCCCGCGGCGCAUUAGCUAGUUGGUGAGGUAAUGGCUCACCAAGGCGACGAUGCGUAGCCGACCUGAGAGGGUGAUCGGCCACACUGGGACUGAGACACGGCCCAGACUCCUACGGGAGGCAGCAGUAGGGAAUCUUCCGCAAUGGACGAAAGUCUGACGGAGCAACGCCGCGUGAACGAAGAAGGCCUUCGGGUCCUAAAGUUCUGUUGUUAGGGAAGAACAAGUACCAGAGUAACUGCUGGUACCUUGACGGUAACUAGCCAAAAACCCACCGCUAGUUUCGUGCCAGCAGCCGCGGUAAUGCAUAGGUGGCCAGCGUUCUCCGGAUUUAAUGAGCGUA
rnacentral:rRNA from 1 species